rnacentral:rRNA from 1 species
AAAACUUUCAACAACGGAUCUCUUGGCUCUGGCAUCGAUGAAGAACGCAGCGAAAUGCGAUAAGUAAUGUGAAUUGCAGAAUUCAGUGAAUCAUCGAAUCUUUGAACGCACAUUGCGCCCGCCAGUAUUCUGGCGGGCAUGCCUGUUCGAGCGUCAUUACAACCCUCAGGCCCCCGGGCCUGGCGUUGGGGAUCGGCGGAAGCCCCCUGCGGGCACAACGCCGUCCCCCAAAUACAGUGGCGGUCCCGCCGCAGCUUCCAUUGCGUAGUAGCUAACACCUCGCAACUGGAGAGCGGCGCGGCCACGCCGUAAAACACCCAACUUCUGAAUGUUGACCUCGAAUCAGGUAGGAAUACCCGCUGAACUUAAGCAUAUCAAUAAGCGGAGGAAAAGAAACCAACAGGGAUUGCCCCAGUAACGGCGAGUGAAGCGGCAACAGCUCAAAUUUGAAAUCUGGCUCUCGGGCCCGAGUUGUAAUUUGUAGAGGAUGCUUUUGGUGAGGUGCCUUCCGAGUUCCCUGGAACGGGACGCCAUAGAGGGUGAGAGCCCCGUCUGGUUGGACACCGAUCCUCUGUAAAGCUCCUUCGACGAGUCGAGUAGUUUGGGAAUGCUGCUCUAAAUGGGAGGUAUAUGUCUUCUAAAGCUAAAUACCGGCCAGAGACCGAUAGCGCACAAGUAGAGUGAUCGAAAGAUGAAAAGAACUUUGAAAAGAGAGUUAAAAAGUACGUGAAAUUGUUGAAAGGGAAGCGCUUGUGACCAGACUUGGGCUUGGUUGAUCAUCCGGGGUUCUCCCCGGUGCACUCUUCCGGCUCAGGCCAGCAUCAGUUCGCCCUGGGGGAUAAAGGCUUCGGGAAUGUGGCUCUCUCCGGGGAGUGUUAUAGCCCGCUGCGUAAUACCCUGUGGCGGACUGAGGUUCGCGCAUUCGCAAGGAUGCUGGCGUAAUGGUCAUCAGUGACCCGUCUUGAAACACGGACC